rnacentral:rRNA from 1 species
UACGGAGGGUGCGAGCGUUGUCCGGAAUCAUUGGGCGUAAAGGGCGCGUAGGUGGCGGGACAAGCGUGCGGUGAAAGCUCGGGGCUCAACCCCGAGUCGGCCGUGCGAACUGUUUUGCUUGAGCACUGUAGAGGCAGGCGGAAUUCCGGGUGUAGCGGUGGAAUGCGUAGAGAUCCGGAGGAACACCGGUGGCGAAGGCGGGUCUCUGGGCAACAACUGACGCUGAGGAGCGAAAGCGUGGGGAGCGAACGGG